GAGGGCUUCCACCACGGUUACCAAGAAGAACUGAUUCAUCACCAAAAAAUACUUCAAUUCCAUCCAAAGCUAAACCACAAUGAACACGAAUUUUAGUAGGCUUAAACUUUUCAGGUGCUAUUAAAAUAUUUGAUAACUCUUUCCCAUUACAACCUCGCAAACCAUAUCUUUCAGAUCGAUAAACAGUUCCAAAAGACGAUUCAACCUUCGCAUUUUUUAUAAUUUCAGGUACAUUGUUUAAAUCAAUACAUUUGAAAUUUCUGGAUAGAACGCGAACACGAUAAUCUUGAUUGGAGCUUGCAUUUGAAAGAGAGCGUAUUUCAGCAUCAGUUAAAGAAGCUUCUCCGACUGGAGGAUUAAACUCCUUCCAGCCCUUGGUCUGUCCAUUGUAUUCAAUUUCAAUUAAAAAGAUUCCAGUCGAAUUGACAAAUGUGAUAGUUUCUCCUUUAACAAAGUAGUUCGUUUCAAUGUCCGACGGAUAUGUAGGGUCUGAAGGUAGUUUAAAGCACGGAUGAUAAAAAAACCUUAACAUGUCAAGAUGGUGCCAAGAACAUUCAUCUUUUGCAAGCACUGGGGCAAGACCUUUACUUCCAGUUCUAACACAUUCAAAUUCUCUUGUCGUAAAACUGCGGUUAAAUAUUGGAUAUGAUCGCAACAUGAUUCCAUCUGGUUGAUGAGGACAACCAAGUGUAUGUCCUAACUCAUGAAGCAUAGCGCCUAUCCCUAUAUUCGCACAUUCCCAAAUCGUAGAACUUUCAUUUGCAUCAUUUGCCAAGUAAGAAGGGAUUCUACGGGCAUCACUAAAGACAGGUACAACAUACUCAAGUGCACUAGGAAAAGAAUGUAACGAAUGGGAACCAAACACUCCAAGUUUGUGCAUGUCUGUACCUCCACCUAAAGCUACAUGUCCACGAAUUUUUUGAGUAGAAGGAUCAUAUCGUGUAUCCAAGAACAUGCACAUAUAAUGCCAAGGCUCAGGAAGAUGUAGUUUGUCGACAGCAUCUCCAGCUAUAUGAAACAAUUGAUCUGGAGGAACCGAUCGAAUCUCUUCUGCUGUUUUAUCACUUCGCAGAAUAUUUAUAGUGGCUGUUAACCUUUCGGUGCCCCAAGGGGACAAACAAGACAUUGUGUCGGGUUGCACACUUUCCUCAAUUCUAAAAGAACGUCUUCCAUAACCAUUUCUAUACAUACAUUCAGCGGUGAAAGCUUGCCAUAAGUAAGCAGCGCAUCUGAGUUUACGGAUGCCCUCAUCAAUAUCAUUUUUGGCACCGUGAGGUGCAUCAAAUGAAAGGUCUGAGUCUUUUCCAACUAUAAAGGCGAUACAAUAGAAAGGAUUAUCAACAAGUAAUUGGUAAUAAACCUGCAAUUCUAGUUUACCUCCAUCGUCCGUAGUAAAUAGUAUGGUAUUGUCUCCGGGAACGACGUGAAUGAUAGCUUUAAAAUAUAAGUCUGUAACUACCCAUGUUUGUUCUGGAAAUGAAUUUUCGUGAUGCUUCACAUUGAUUGUUUGUGGGCAAUAACUUGCACGAGGUCCAACUCUACCAUGUAUAAUAACAAAUCUCUAAAAUUAGGCAUCUAUAUUAGUACAAUUAUGAAAAUAACAUUGAAAACACUCGUACAUUGUAUACAGUUUCGUUUUGGGAUAUAUUGUCUAAAAUGAUCUGACUCAUGCUGGCUCUUGACA